AUGAACGCUAGCGGCAGGCUUAACACAUGCAAGUCGAGGGGCAGCACGGGUAGCAAUACCUGGUGGCGACCGGCGCAAGGGUGCGUAACGCGUGAGCAACAUGCCCUAUACAGGGGGAUAAUCCAGGGGAAAACUUGGUCUAAUAUCCCAUAGCAUUUAGAGGAGGCAUCUUCACUAAAUUAAAGCUUCGGUGGUAUAGGAUUGGCUCGCGUGACAUUAGCUAGAUGGUGAGGUAACGGCCCACCAUGGCUAUGAUGUCUAGGGGUUCUGAGAGGAAGACCCCCCACACUGGGACUGAGACACGGCCCAGACUCCUACGGGAGGCAGCAGUGAGGAAUAUUGGACAAUGGAUGGAAAUCUGAUCCAGCCAUGCCGCGUGCAGGAAGACGGCCCUAUGGGUUGUAAACUGCUUUUAUAUGGGAGCAAUAAGGUUUACGAGUAGACCGAUGAGAGUACCAUAUGAAUAAGCAUCGGCUAACUCCGUG
rnacentral:rRNA from 1 species